UAACCUCCCAUGGUGCAAAUUUGAGCAAGUAUAAGACAAUUAUGCGCUUACAUAUGAGUUAAGUUUUUUCUUACCUUUUCUUCUAUAUAUAUUUCCUUUCAUUUCAUUGUCUUCUUAACAGCUAGUUAGCAAGUGAAACAAAAUUGAUAUAUGUUAAAGACUAUUUAUUUGGACGGCUUUCUUUUUUAAUGUAAUUGAUAAUAUAUAUCUCUGAAUGAAGACCCAUUUUGUCCAUAUACAGAAAAUAAAAUCUAAAUUAGUUGAUGACAUUUUUAUAUUGAGGAUAAAUUAGUCUCAUCUGCCACUUCUCUUGUUCUUGUCUUUGCAACAAAUUUAAUACAACCGAUAUUUCGUCAAGUCAUCCCACACUUCCUUUUGUUCGUAUGGUUUGGCUUUAGUUUGGCAUCAUGUUGUGUGGUUCAUAUGGUUAAUUAUCUCGCUAUAAUUUUAUCUUCUCUGGCAGUCCACUUAUGCUGAGCAAUUGGUGUCCGGUGCCGGUGGAUAGGAUUAAACUCUACUCUUAGUAAAAAUCCUGGUCACACCACUAGUGCAGAAAGGAGAUACAACUACUGGCCAAACAGACUUUCCACUACUGACCGUGGCGAAGUGAAAUCAAUUUUGUGUUGGAACCAAUAGACCGGAGUAGAGGGGUCACACUUGAGUAGCAUCGCGGCUGGUUGGCAGGUGGCAACGCCAGAGUUUUUACCCUAUGCAAGAUUGAAGGUGACAUUUAUUGUAAACAAGUAAAGGUGUGUGAUGCUUUCAGCUACUGGACUUUCACCAUCUAGGGUGCAACCUUCGAUUGCUUCGCCUAGCAAUGUAGCACCGCCACUUGGAUUGUUCCCCCACAAUUUAGUUGGUAGCUACUAAGAGAUAUUAAUUGAGGGACUGAAGUUUAAACUCUGACUGCAUCCCAUUUCUCCACAUUAUAGUGAAUUCAUUCCUGGAUUGAUAAUCCUCCAGAUUAGGUGAUGUUGCACCGAACUGGAUUAACAAACGAUCUGUCUUAUUUAUCUUCAUGCACUUAAUUUAUUUUUAACUUGUCUAUUGUUUUCUGUACUGAUAAGACAGAUCAUAAGGCAGUCUUACAUCACAAGGUACCGACUUUAUGAAUAGUAACCGAAAAUGUGAUUAUACUCUGUUACUUUAGAUUGUCUCUUGAUCCAACAGUGUGAAAUCAUAAGAUGCUGAGCGUGAUAUAAUAAUGUAUUAGGAAAAAUCCAAAUAUUAUCUAAUAAAAGAUAAAAGAUAGGA